CCAUUCUGGUGUUUAGCCAAUCAGAGCUCGGCGUCGCGUUUACAGGCGUCACCCUGUCUCUAUAAAUUGCAGCGGGAGGACGCAGGCGGUCUUUCAGUCGCAGCAUGGCAGGGUGGAGUGUGGUUGUGGGGCCUGCCUCAGGUCGCCUACUUUAUUCUGUGAGCCGGCUUGGCUAUGGCUAGGUAUGUCUACCAUCUCUGUAUCAGUAAGCAAUGCUUUGCCUGGUCUGGAUUAAUACUCCGGUUCCUGAGGCAGUGCCGAGUACUGGCUGCUGUUAUGAAUCACGUGGAGCCCAGUAUACUUGGCGCUGUCCUAGUAUGUUAAUAACUUUGUGUAUUCUAUUGUCUGACAUGGCUCUGCAGCUUUGUUACUAAAUGUUAUAAUCCAUCUCAAACUAGAAACGUCUCUCUUUGUCAUGAGAUGCCUACAGGUUUACUCGGCGCUGUGUUGGCAAUGGUGCAAUCACUGCUACAAUGUACCGCCUUCCGCAGAUUUAUUAUUCUGGUGUCUGCCCUUACACUCAGAACUGACACCUAUCAGAACACGUUCUAUGUGUUGUUUUUUUUUUUUUUUUUACUAAAUGUAGCCCAUAGCUAUAUUCUGUUUAUGUAACUGUUUUAUAUGUUCAUUACUGCACCAAUUUAAACUCAGGCCAUGAAACUUUUGUAGACCACCUUAGUGUACCCCCUUAACUUAGGGGCUGUUAAGGAUCUUGAAAUAACAUCAAUUUUGGCAAUGCGUUCCUAAAACAGGAACUUAAAUAGCUAGAAUCAAACUCGUGAUAAAUGUCACAUCUUUAAUGCUGCACCUUUUUUUAGGUCACGACUGAAAAAAAUGACUGACUUGAUUGCCUGUGAAGGUUAGCAUUGGAUUACUGAACUCGUGUGGAGCCAAUGGACUAAAUAGCUGGGAUUUAUUAUCCAGGUAUGUGUUCAGCUUCUAAUGGUCCUGUACAUGUCAGUGCAUCAAGUGCAAUACAUCCCCCUUAAUUGCAUUUAAAACUGCAUUAUAUUGCAUAGUCAUGCUUAAAGGGAAGCAUAAAGGAGUUACACCAUAUGACAAUAACUCUAAAAAUUGUAACCCUUUCAUAAAGUGAUUAGUUUUCUUAAGUGGACUUCACAUAAUUCAUUUAAUAAGACCUUUUUGUGAAAUGUGACAUUACUGUCAAAAUGGGAUAGGAAUCAGGGAAAAGGUUCAGCACUGAUAAGAAACGGAGUAUAAGGCAGCACACCUUAAAAAGGAAUCCCCUCUGAACCCCUUAAAGUACAGUAGAAAAGAGAGAAAAAAAUAAGGGUGCGCCUAAAACAAGUAAAAAUGGUAAAAUGAGAAUAGCAGCAAUAACAAAAAAUUCGGAAAAAUGUCCAAAUAUAAAAAAUGGGAUAACCACGGUACCUAAUAGUCCAAAUAUAAAAUGUCCAAAUGCGCAAAUGGUGGUCUAUGGACUACUAGGACCACCAUUUGCGCAUUUGGACUAUUGGGUACCGUGGUUAUCCCAUUUUUUUAUAUUUGGACAUUUUUCCAAAUUUUUUGUUGCUGCUAUUCUCAUUUUACUAUUUUUACUUUAGGCGCACCCUUAUUUUUUCUCUCUUUAUUACUGUCAAAAUGUCCUAAAACAAAGUAGGGAGUACUGUCACUUACCUGAAUCCAGCGCCAAUGUUCCUUGGUGUUGCUUUUCCCGAACUCCAGAGGCUUAAUGCACAUGCACAGAAAGUGCCACGUUCACAGCAUGACUACUCUAUAGGAAAGCAUUGAAUGCUUUCCUUUGGGAUUUUGGUGAAUGCUGGAUGUUAUGUAGUGAGGAUAUUCCGCACCAGUUUUGUGACAGUCUCAAAUGACAAAGUCCCUCUAGUGGCUGUCUAGUAAAUAGCCACUCAAACCCUGCAAUGUAAUUAUUGCAGUUUCUCUAACUGCAGUAUGUACAAUAAUGGGGUAAAACUGACAGGCACUGCACCCACACCACUUCUACAAGCUGAAGUGUCCCUUUAAGAUUUUAAUGACACAUCAAAUUGUGCUUCUAUAAUAAACUUACAGAUGAUUGUGGAGACCUGUUUGGCUGUGAUGACAACUUGCCCUCACUGUGAACUUGUUCUGUGAUGAGAAUACCACUGUACUCAAUUCUGUCUGAGCCAUACUGUAGCACACAAUUUUAUGUAUUGUAAGAUAAAUAUGAUAUUAAACAAUUUAUUUUUGUUUUCCAGAAUGUCUUCUGUCUACUCUGGUCUUUUUGCAAGAAUGAUUAAGGUAUGAAUUACUUGAGUCUACCAUGGCUUAUAUAUUCACCCCUUGGUCUGAUAAUGAUGACAAACUUGCCCUCACUGAGAACUAUGUUCUAUAAUGAGAACUCCAAUCGUACUCAAAGCUGAAACAGACCAAGGGAAACUCUAAAUGUGCUUGAUUUAGAAUGCAGUCUUAAAUCAUGACUCACUUCAUAGAUUAUUUUUUGUUAUAAUCUGCAGAUAGCAUUAACCUUGUCUGAUUUAAAGAAUACAAUCUGUUGCAUCCCAUAUGACAAUGUGAUCAUAUCAUUUUCAUGAUUUAAAAAAAUGUGUGCUUUGAUGCUCACUUGUAAUGACUGGUAAGUCUUUUUUCUUUUAGGUGGUUAUCAAGGUGUGAAGAAAAUAUCUGACUUGGUCAAAGAGCAUUAUGAUCUACUAAAUUUGCAAAAUCUGAGUGAGGGGGAUAUGAGAUGCAAGCACAUGAUCAACACUUACUGAACACAUUUAAUGCUCUUAAGGUCUCUGAACCAUGACAAAUAAAAGAUGAUAAAUUAAGUGUU